AUAUGUGAGGGUGACCUGAUUGCGACAUCUGUCACCCCAUUGAUCAUCAGGGCUGAUUCGGCUGAUCUGACUGGCUAGAUGGAUGUCCCCUUCCUCCCUCACCGCUCCAUGUGCCCAUGUGCAUCCCUCCAGAAGAUGGCCUUCCCCGAGAAGAGAAGAACUGGUCUUCGGUCAAGUGUAUACGAGUAGCUGCGCUCCCCUGCUAGAACCUCCAAACAAGCUCUCAAAGGAUACAGACAAACUAACCUUAAUCAGAAUAGUUAAAGGAUAUUCUACCCUU
ensembl:misc_RNA 7SK 7SK RNA